rnacentral:lncRNA from 1 species
CGACAAGCCGAAAACGUUCGUUCAAUUAGAAUAAAGUUUAAGUUUAUGUUUCCCACACUGCAAAUUGUGCUGAAAUAAUUUGUAUUGUCCCAUAAAAGAUUUUAUUCAGAAACGUUUUCAAUGCUCUUGGUGUCUUCCUCAGCUACAUCAGAGUGGAAAACCAACCAAAAUAAACAAACCAAAAUAGGACAAAGAUUUAAAAGGUCGGUGUACAUCUGGAAGUACACUCCUCUGCACCUCCCACCAGCAAAACACAUUUUUGUUACGUGCCUUACUUACACGGAAUACAUUACGUAUAUUACAAAACAUAACAAAAGCUUGUAAAUAUUUCGUCUCAUUUAUGAACAAAAUUACUA